AAGUCAUAACAAGGUUUCCGUAGGUGAACCUGUGGAAGGAUUAUUAAAAAAAUAUGCCUGGUAAAAGUGUGAAAACGCUGGAUCCAGUGCUGUAUACAACCACCUGUUUACCUUUACUUGUUGCUUCCGUGGAAUUACGGGUGCUCUUCCUGUUCGCAGGCUCGAGUUACCUUCCACGGGUGUAUUUAAAAAAUUGUUUUGUAUUAUUGUCUGAUUUAAAAUUUUAAUAAAAGUUAAAACUUUCAACAACGGAUCUCUAGGUUCUCA
rnacentral:misc_RNA from 1 species